CCAUCACACGGACAAACACAAUGCCUGUAUUAUCAAUAAUGUAUAUAUAAGGCCCUCUUCCCACCUAACUGAAUGCAUGCACGGUGACUCCUACGAAACAUGUCACAAGCGUCUUCUGCUUCGGUCCUCACUAACGCUCACAUCCAUGCCGCGGGUCAGAACGCAAGCCCCAACCUACAACAUGGGAUACGCUUCUUUGGUAAGUUCUAAUGAAUAUAUUCUAACGAUUUUUAAGUUAUAUGUUGAAUAUACGGUGGGGGAAUCCUCUCUAUGACGCUACUGAUCAUGUGAUACCGUAGUAAUCUUCCUUGGGGAAUCCCCCCUUACGCUUUUCGGCGGUGUAACAAUAUAUGUUUAAUUAUUUUUCAGACCUCACAGGUGUGGAGCAAGAAAAUGUACUUUUAACACCGUUGAACUACGGGUUUUUAAAUGGGAACGUUCUAUAAGGUGAGGAAACACUGAGCUAGCAAUAUAUUCCUUGUAAUGGAUAGCUUAUGAAAAAUAAGUGGUUUGCGUGUUCUUUCUGUGGGGUUCCUUGUUUGGUUCCUCAGAAGAACUUGAAGUGAAGCACACCUCCCUCAGUCGGGGAAAAGUUACAGAAAUCAUCUUUUUCUUUAGCCCGACGGCAGCAAAAACGUUUUUGCAAAAUUAGGGGCAUUUCUACCACAAAAUCCAAGAAUGGAACCCUUCCCAUGAAUACUGCCUCCUCUACAACCCAAUUGAUGUAAGCGGUCUAACCCAGACAGAAGGCUACAAAGAGAUGUGCAAUAAGGA